AGUGAACGCUGGCGGUAGGCCUAACACAUGCAAGUCGAACGGCAGCACAGGAGAGCUUGCUCUCUGGGUGGCGAGUGGCGGACGGGUGAGGAAUACAUCGGAAUCUACUCUGUCGUGGGGGAUAACGUAGGGAAACUUACGCUAAUACCGCAUACGACCUACGGGUGAGAGCAGGGGACCUUCGGGCCUUGCGCGAUUGAAUGAGCCGAUGUCGGAUUAGCUAGUUGGCGGGGUAAAGGCCCACCAAGGCGACGAUCCGUAGCUGGUCUGAGAGGAUGAUCAGCCACACUGGAACUGAGACACGGUCCAGACUCCUACGGGAGGCAGCAGUGGGGAAUAUUGGACAAUGGGCGCAAGCCUGAUCCAGCCAUACCGCGUGGGUGGAGAAGGCCUUCGGGUUGUAAAGCCCUUUUGUUGGGAAAGAAAUCCAGCUGGCUAAUACCCGGUUGGGAUGACGGUACCCAAAGAAUGAGCACCGGCUAACUUCGUGCCAGCCGCCGCGGUAA
rnacentral:rRNA from 1 species